GGUCGUCGACCGCGAGGAAAGGCUGCUUAGGGCCGACCGCAGCAAAUCGUCGCGCCAUUCUUCUCCUAUGAAAUCCUCCUCCAAGAGCCAUUGAAAUAACCCCAAAAUCCCUGGCCAUUCAACGCUAUCUACAAGUGGCGGUGGCCAUGCGGCAGGAAGAGAAGCAGGCAGCGGCGGAGGCUCGAGAGUUGCUCAAGCCGUAGGCAUUGCGGGAGCGGAAAGCUGCUGUGGCGCAGUCGAGGCUCCUCGGCGGCAUCGGCGACGAAAACAGCGGCGGCGCGGAAGGGGAAGGCGGGGGAGCUGCGGCGACGCCGGAGCAAGUGACUUCCGGCCGCGCCGCCCAGGUGCCGGACCAGAACGAGGCAAGUGGCUAUGGCGCAGCUACUCCUCCGACUUCCUUCUCCGACGGAAGCUGCUUCUUCGACGGUGCCGGCAGCUUCUUCGACAGCAGCUCGAUGUCUCAACCAUGGAUGCUGAAUUCAAAUCCUGCAACAUGUUGCAGAGGGAAGCAUUUGGACCUGGUGUUUGAGGAUCUGCUGGAUUUUUGUGAACCGAGCAUCUUCUGCAAAUGUGAAUUGUCAUCUUCUUUUUGAUAUAUCAAGUAUUCUUCCAUGUAUACAACACAAUGGCUACAAAUAUCAAAUUAUGCACUAGAUUAUCAUGAUUCAUGUGUCAAACAGUGAAUUAAAUACCUAGCAGACAGCUAAACAGAUAACUCGUUGUACAAACUGUCAGUUUAGCUGUCCGUGUGUGACAAAUAGACAGCAGCUGUCUAGACCUUUGUGCAUGCCCUAACAUCAAGUCAGAGUGUGCGGGUGCUGGUUGUCAAUCGCAUUUAACUUUGGUUAA